AACGAACGCUGGCGGCAUGCCUAACACAUGCAAGUCGAACGAUGCCUUCGGGCAUAGUGGCGCACGGGUGCGUAACGCGUGGGAAUCUGCCUUUCGGUUCGGAAUAACUCAGGGAAACUUGAGCUAAUACCGGAUAACGUCGCAAGACCAAAGAUUUAUCACCGAAAGAUGAGCCCGCGUAGGAUUAGCUAGUUGGUGAGGUAAAGGCCCACCAAGGCGACGAUCCUUAGCUGGUCUGAGAGGAUGAUCAGCCACACUGGGACUGAGACACGGCCCAGACUCCUACGGGAGGCAGCAGUGGGGAAUAUUGGACAAUGGGCGAAAGCCUGAUCCAGCAAUGCCGCGUGAGUGAUGAAGGCCUUAGGGUUGUAAAGCUCUUUUACCCGGGAAGAUAAUGACGGUACCGGGAGAAUAAGCCCCGGCUAACUCCGU
rnacentral:rRNA from 1 species